UACGUAGGGUGCAAGCGUUGUCCGGAAUUAUUGGGCGUAAAGAGCUCGUAGGCGGCUAGUCGCGUCGGCUGUGAAAACCUGGGGCUCAACCCCGGGCCUGCAGCCGAUACGGGCAAGCUAGAGUUCGGUAGGGGAGACUGGAAUUCCUGGUGUAGCGGUGAAAUGCGCAGAUAUCAGGAGGAACACCGGUGGCGAAGGCGGGUCUCUGGGCCGAUACUGACGCUGAGGAGCGAAAGCGUGGGGAGCGAACAGG
rnacentral:rRNA from 1 species